ACCGACCCAUUGCCCAAUCAGAAGAAGCAUGGGAAACCGUCUUCAGUCUUUUCUGUCACUCCUUUCAUAAUGACGAUUUCAUUUCCAAGGUAAGCCAAAAGAAAUCAGUCCGUUUUAUUUUCUUGUUCAAAGCCUUUCAUUCUUCAUUUUUCUUCUCUGGAGACUUCUUCUUCACUUCCCCCAUCCAGCCGAGCUUGAUCCAUUUGCAUAAUCUGGAACUCCCCUAUCCAGGUAAAACUCUUCUCCUCUUCUCAAUGAUUCUGUUGCUAUGAUAUGAGCAAGACCAUUUGCGGAUCUAGGUAUAUACUGAAAUCUGAUGUUUUCAAGUCCAUAGAUUUCCUGUUGAAUGUCAAAAAUGUAUACUUCCACCAUAGAUCUAUCUUGACUCUUCGAUUUACAUUUUUUGACUAUUGUGAGGGAGUCUCCUUCAAGGAUCAAAUGUCGCCAUCCCCUCCUGAUUCCCAUUUGAACGCCUUUCCGGCAGGCAAUUGCUUCAGCAGCAAAGGCUGAUGGAAUACCAAAAUGAAUCUCUGAAUAUGAAAAAAGAAUAGUACCAUUCGAAUCUCUGGCCACAAUACCCACACCCGACUGAUUCUUUACUUUAUCGUAAGCACCAUCAAAGUUGAUCUUCAUGAAACUUUCCUGUGGUGGCGACCAUCUCUUUUUCUCUAAGGUACGGUUCAGAUCUCUCUUCUCAAGACUAUCAAUUUCUUUGAUGUAACUGAUUAUAAGAUUUGCAACUUCCGUCCCCUUUCUAAUUUUACCUUCAUGUAUUCUUUUGUUUCUGUCACCCCAUAUUGCCCAGAGUGCACAACAAAAUACGCGACUUUGAUCAAGGUUGAGCUGCUCUAUUGCCCAGGUAAUCCACUGUACAAAAUCUUCACAAUGAUUCCUUAAAAUGCACUGAAACGAUAAUGAUCUCCAUACCUCCCUUGUAAUAUGACAGUAACGAAAUAAGUGGUUCAUUGGUUCAGCUUCUUCUCCACAUCGGGGACAGCUCGGAUUUACUACUAACUUCCGAUGUUGAAGAUUCACCUUUGUAGGCAGAUAAUUCCAAGAUAGCUUCCAUAUUGUAACCUUAAUUUUAGCUGGUAGAUUCAGGCACCAUAGUUUUUUAUAAAAAUUCCCAUAGAUGGUCUGUAAAGCAUAAGCUCUAGGAUUGUCAGUCAAUUUUUGUAAUAGUUGAUAGGCACUUCUGACCGUAAACUCACCCGACCGUUCGCCUCCCCAGAUAAGAAAAUCAUCAUGCGGUGUUUGUGCCAGAGGGAUUCUGAGGAUUCUAGCUGCGUCGUCUUCCAGGAAGGUACUAGUAAUCAACUCUUUUUUCCAACUUCUGGUAUUAUUAUCAAUCAACUCGCCAACUUUAACAUCACGCAAAAAAUUAAUAUCUGAUGAUAAUCUAAAAUUAACAGAAUCUGGAAUCCAAGCAUCGCUUAUGCAAAUAUUAGUACCCGUCCCCACCCUUCAACAAUGCCCUUUUUCCAAUAAGUCCUUUGCUGCCCAAAUACUUUUCCAUACAUACGAACUAGAAUUUCCUAACCUGAAAUUUAAGAAAUUAUCAUCCGAAAAAUACUUAGCUUUAAACACUUUCGUUACAAGCGCAUUCUGAUUAUUCAUAAUCCUCCACCCUUGCUUAGCCAAUAGAGCUACAUUGAACUGUGCCAUAUUUCGGAAGCCCAUACCACCCUCUUCUUUAGGCCUACACAUAAAUUCCCAUUGACACCAUUGAAUUCCUUUCUUUCCUUUCCCUUUCUGCCACCAAAAUCUAGCAACUAAAUUGUCAAACUCAUCACAAAGCGAUUUUGGUAAUAGAAAACAUGUCAUAGCAUAAGUAGGAAUUGCCUGAAGAACUGAUUUAAUAAAAACCUCUCUACCCCCUUGAGAGAAGAAGCGAGUACUCCAAUUAUCAAUUCUUUGCUUUAUUCUGUCUUUGAGAUUCUGAAACGAUUCUUUUUUCUUCCGGCCUACAAUAUUUGGCAAUCCAAGAUAUUUUUCCAUAUUGUUCGAAAAUCUUAUUCCCAUAUCAGCUGAUAACCUGCCUUUAUCCCCCUCCUUCAAAUUCGAACUAAAAAAGAUCAUUGAUUUAUUAAAGUUAACGCAUUGACCAGAGCAACUCUCAUAUUCUUUCAAAAUAGCUUUGAAGUUCCUUGCACUACUUUCUGUGGCUUCACCAAACAAAAUACAAUCGUCUGCGAAUAACAAGUGCGAUAUUAUCGGGCCUCUUCUGCUGGCUCUCACCCUUUUAAUCAAUCCCUCUUUUGUAGCAUUCCUGAUUAACGACGAUAAACCUUCAUUGCAAAUAAGAAAUAGAAAAGGGCUAAGUGGGUCACCCUGUCUGAGUCCUCUGGUUGGUUCAAAGACUCUACCAUUCCUCCCGUUCGUAGUAACAACAUAAGAGACUGUAGAAAUACAUCUCAUUAUAAGUACCACCCAUUCCUUCGCAAAACCCAUCCGUAUCAUAACUUCCUUCAAGAAAGCCCAUUCCACCCUAUCGUAAGCUUUACUCAUGUCAAGCUUAAUUGCCAUAAAACCUUUCUUCCCCUUACGUUUUUUCCGAAGAGUAUGCAGAAUUUCAUAAGCUAUCAAAAUAUUGUCUGAAAUUAGCCUCCCUGGGACAAAUGCACUUUGAGCACUAUCAAUGCAUCUCCCGAUGACUUCUUGAAAACGAUUGGCAAUAGCUUUAGCAAUAAUUUUAUAAAGAACUGUGCAUAAACUAAUUGGUCUAAAAUCUGCAAGGUUUGUAGGAUUGGAUUUCUUCGGAAUAAGGGUAAUCUUAGUUACAUUUAACUCUUCCACGUCUUUUCCAUUAUUUAAAACUUCUAAACAAAAAUUCCCAAUAUCUUCGCCCACUAUAUCCCAGUAUUUUUGAAAGAAUAGAGCCGGGAAGCCAUCAUAACCUGGAGCUUUUGUUGAACCCAUUCCCUUCACUGCAAUAUAAAUCUCCUCUAACGUAAAUUUUUUCAAUAGGGUUGCAUUGAUAUCCGAAGAGAUGCAAUUCUGAAUACCUGUUAGAAGAUGAGAAGGAUCUCUAACGCCUGUAGUCGAGAAAAGCUUUUGAAAAUACUGCGUCGCCAACUCAUUAAUUUUAAACUCCUCAGUAAUUCCUCUCCCAUCAUCAUUAUCAAGCCUGCUAAUUGUAUUAAUUUUUCUCCGCAUUGAUGCAUAUUUAUGAAAAAAUUCUGUAUUUUUAUCCCCCAACUUUAGCCAAUUAGCUCGUGCUCUCUGUUCCCAAUACAUCUCCUCCUUCUCGAUUUCCAUGCUCAAAUGAAUUCUUUUAUUAAUUAUCUGGUUCAUAACAUCUUCAUCAGGUUCCUUCUUCAUUAAAUCUUCAACCUCUUUUGUAGUUCUUUCUGUCAUUCCCUUCCGUUGCCUUCUAAUAGAUUUAGCCCAUUUCGAUAAGCUAAUCUGCAAGUUCUCAAGAUUUUCCAAAACCGAUCCAUUUUGUGACUUCCAGGCUUCCCGAAUUUCUUUCUCUAUUGACUCCUCUGUAGUCCACCAGGCUUCAAAUUUAUAACUUGGAACUGUCUUGAAACUGUUUAAAUUAAUUGUGCUUAUUAACAAAGGACAAUGAUCCGAAAGGGUAGACAUCAGAUGAUUAAUAUUGCCCGUUGGAAAUAACUCCAUCCAUUUUUCGUUUGCAACACCUCUAUCCAAUCUUUCCCAUAAUUCGUCUCUGGUAAAUUCCCUCUCUCCCAUGUAUACCAUACUCCUGAAUAUCCCAAGUCUAAAAAGUGACAUUCUUGUAGAGUUUCCCGAAACGCUGCCAUCUUUCUUUCAUCCAUCGGUUGACCUCUUUUUUUUCAAAAGAAUAAGCUAUUUCAUUGAAAUCUCCACUCACUAACCAAGGAUACUCUUGCUCCUGUCCCAAGAUCUUUAAUAAAUCCCAUGAAGCAUUUUUAUCUUGUGAGUAGGGAGAGCCAUAGAACCCUGUGAAUCUCCAAUCGCCAUGAGCACCUUCUCCUUUAACCAGCACAUCAAUAUGACUUAUUGACAAAGAUCUAAGGUGAAUCUGAACCUCCUCUCGCCAUGCUAAACAAAUACCACCCUGCGUACCAGUAGCUCCUACUUCAAGUCCAUUCAUGAAACCACACAUUCUUCUAAUUGCUUCCAUACGUUUUCCACUUACUUUAGUCUCCAUUAAGAAGACAAAUUGAGGAUUAUUUUGCUUCAGUAAAAAUCGAAGCUUCCUUACUGCCCGUGGACUCCCCAAUCCACGGACAUUCCAACAUAUGAUUUUCAUUGUGCCCGGUCGGCUUGCCCAUUGGCAGCCGCCGAUCCUGUCUGGUUGGAAAAUUCUAUUUGUAAAUUAAUUUCAUCCUUCGAAGUUAGAUCCUGUUCAGCACGUUUUGUCCUUUUUAGAUUCUCUUCUCGAAUCUCCUUUACCCCAUCUUCAUCUUGCACUAAUUCUGCCAAUUUCCUUUUUUGCAAUUUACGAUCAGCCUCAUGGUUCUCCUUCCCUCCCACUAUUUUCCUUCUUUUCCAACUAACUUUCCUGGCUAAAACUAGAUUACUGACAGUACUAUCUACAUUACCUCCUUCAUUGAUACCUGCUUCCUUGUGUAAUUCAAGAUCUGCAACAGCUGAUGCCAAACAAGAACUAUCCUGGAUCCCUCCCACUAAACCACUACUUUGCUCCAUGUACUGAUAUUCUUCCUGGUUCUUUGUAAUGCCUCCAACAUAAGAGCAUUGUGGUUGUGAUUUUUUCAAUAAAGCAUUAAACUUUAAACUCUCCCUUCCCACUAACUUUGAUUCUGCUUUUAAUGCUAAAGAAAAAGGUAGAUCCACUUUAAUUCUGUUUUUCUCUACAGGAGUAAAUUCCGAGCAAUCGUGGAUGCCAUGCCCUAACUUGCCACAUCCAAAACAGUAAGUCGGCAACUUUUCAUACUUAAAUGGGAUCCAAGAUUUAUUCCCAUUCCCUAUUGUGACAAAAAUACCCCUUCGAAGAGGUUUCUGAACAUUUAACAGCACUCUAAGCCGACAAAAUUCACCAAGAAUUUCAGAUCUGAUUACCUCUCCAAAAGUGACUCCUAUAGCAUGCAAAAGGUCUUUUUUAUCAAACUCUGGUAGACACGGCCCAAUUUUAAUCCAAAACGGUGAUGAGACAAGCCGAAUUUGAUCUCUUAACAUUGAUUUAUUCAACCGAUCGAACAGGAUUAAUUGCUUCCUAAACAACCAUGGUUGGCCUUCCAAAACAGUCUCUAAAUCCUCUUCCAAUUCAAACUCAAUCAAAAAGAGAUUUUGUCCAGCAACUUGAAUCACAAAUUUCUUCCUUGUCUUCCAAAUACUCCUCAUCUGUGCUUUGAAACUAUCUUGAUUGUAAGGUUUCUUUGUCCAUACAGAACAUAUCAAAGAGAAAUUGCCACUUGGUUCCACCAUCGAACUUUUAACCGAAAGUUGAAUAAGCUCUUCUGUUAAUAAGGCGAUCUCAUCUCCCCCAAACCCAUCGUUACCACCGCUCUCCAUUAUCCCAAGCCGCAGCAGCCACUGUUUUCGCUAAGAUACCAAGGAUAGCACUCUUGGUUUCUAGGGUUUUAUAGUAAUAUAAUAUUAAAACUAAUAAUUUUUUAGUAACAUAAUUGAAAAUUUCAUAAAUUAAUCUUAAAAAUUAGUAAUUUUUUUAAAUGUAAGAGAAAUAUAAUUUUCUAAACAUUAUUAAAAUUUUAUUUAUAUAAUUUUAAAAAUACACAUUAAAAAUUAUUAAAAAGAACACAUUAAAAAACUAUUUAAAAUUUUUAAAAAAUAAUUUAAUCUUUUAAGCAGCAUACAUGAAUUUAAAUUUCAAAAUAUGUACAUGAUAUACUUUAAACAUAGAUGAAUAAAAGUAAACUUUAAAAAGUUUCUAAAAAGUUAAAAUAAUUUUUUGAAAAACAUUAUUACAAAUACAUUUCAUAAAUAAAAUUUUAAUAGAUUUCAUGAAUACUUUUUUUUUUAUAUUUGUUUAAUUUAAGAAUUUGUAUAUAUCGUACUUUAAUUUUAUCAAAUAAACAUUGAAUACAAAAUGUAUAAAAAGUAUAAUAUAAUUCAAAUUUAUUUAUAAUGUGAAUCAUUAAAUUUAUACAAAAUUAUUAAACAAUUUUAAAAUAUUUUAAUUGAUACAUAUAAUGAAACCUAAACUAGCAUAAUAUAUAAAUAAUUCAAAUAUCUUUAAAAUUUUAAAAAUCAAAAAUAUAAAUAUAAAUUAAAAAAAUCAAAAUUUUAUAUAAAAUAUAAAAAAAUCAUAUAUAAUAUAUAAAAAUUCAAAUUUUUUAAAAAAAUUUUAAACAAUGAAAAAGAAUUCUACAAUAUAUAAAUAUAUAAAUAUCAGAAUAUUAUAUAAAAAUUGAAAUUUUUAAAAAAAUUAUAUAAAAUCAAAAUAUUAUAUAAAAAUUUAAAUUAAAAAAUCUAAAAUUAUAAAACAUAUAAAUUGAAAUUUUUAAAAAUAAAAUAUUAUAUAAAAAUUGAAAUUUUCUCAUAAUUUUUUUUCAAAAACUCUAAAUUCUAAAGAUUCAAAAACAUAUAUCUAAAUUUCUAAAAGUUAAAAAUUUGUAUAUGUUUUGGAUGAACUUUGUCUAUUUUGGAAAUUUAGAUAUAUUGUUUUGAAUUUUUAGAAUUUUAAGUUUUUGAAAAAAAUAAAAAUUUAUGAAAAAAUUUAUUAGAAUAUAUAUUUGAAAAAUUAAUUUUUUUUUGCAAUUUUUUAAAAAUCAUUUUGAUUUUUUAAAAUUUAUAUUUAUAUAUUUCAUAAUUUUAUAUUUUUUAAAAUCUUUUGUUAAAAAUUAAUUUUUGAAUUAUUUAUAUACUAUAUAUUAUUUUUUACAAUUUAAAUAAUAUAUUAUCUAUAAUAUUAUAAAACACUAAAGAAGGGUGAUGUGAUGUGUUUUAAUUGCGCCACUUAGAUAGUCAAGGUUGGUUAACGCUGACCAAUGGUCUGUCAACGGUUGGUCAACAUUGACCAACGAUUGGUCAAUGUUGGUCAAUGACCAAUAAAUGGUGAGUUAAUGUUUUUAUUUUAAAUAAACUUAAGUGCCACAUGAUGUAUAUUGAUUGAUGUCAUGUGAUUGCUAGUUUUUAAGGGUAUUAAAAACAAAAAAAAACUAUUUCACUAAAAAAAAAUAAAAAAGACUGAAUCGGGUAACAGAAUGAUAAUUUUUUUUUGAUGUCUCAAGAUAUUUACUAGAGCGAACUCAGUAACUAAUUUUCUGUAUUCUGUAGGCCUAUUAAGAGGUAGAUAUUGACCACGAGUUUUAAAGUUAUUCUAUAUCUAGGGCGAGGAUCGAACUCUCAACCACUAGUUAAUGUAGGAAAGACUCUUAGCAUCUCACUUACCUCCUGUGGUUAACAAAAUGAUAAUUUAAGUAUAUAUCUGAGACAAAAAAGUUUAAAUAAUAAAUGGGAAAACAGGCCUAGUUGAAGGGCAAAAUUUAGCAUAAGUCUAAAAAAAAUAAAGAUUUUUGAUCCCAAAAUUAGGGAAGAGUUAUGGGUGAAAAUUUAUAUUGACAAGUUUGAGAUCGACAAGUGAAUAACCUUAGAUUGUCGAGAACUAAAAAAAAAUAGAAAUUUUCAAUAUAGCACUCAACAAGUAAUCUUUAUUACUUCAAAUUUGUUUAACAAAUGUUUGGGGGAAAUCCAAAAUCAAAACUGGGUUUUGUGUUUCAAGAGAUUGAAGGGUUAAAACAAAGGAAAACGACGACCGCUUUAGCUUGAUGUUGUCUAUUUUGACAUUUUAUGAAGCAUAAAAUUUGUGCAAAGGGAACAAGGACAAAGAUGAUAAAUAAUUCUUGAUUUAAUCUACCAUCUUACUCUUGUAUGGUUUGGGAAUGGACUAAUGAAAUAAAAUAAAAUAAUGGUGGUGAAGAAAAUUAAGAAAUGAGAAAGGUUGUAGGCAAGGUACUUUCAUGAAGCUCUCUUAAGGGUAAUAGUUUUCAGCUAUGAUGCAAUCUCCAUGGGAAGUCCAGAUCACCCGUGAAGCUAAUUUUGCAGCAGCCGUGACUAGGUACCUGGCAUGCAAUUGUUCGAUCAUACUCCUAGCGGCAUUUGAAUCUGCUCUUAUGAGGUGUUCAGGGUACAAUUUACCAGUAAUCCCCGCAAGAGCAAAACCCAUCUCUAAAAUGGUGAAACCGGCUUUGAUCCCUCACGAUAAUCUCUCGUUCAAAAACUUUUGAUGUAAGCUUAAUUGCCAAGUGACAAUCUGCACAAAUUCUCAAAUUCUUUACAAUCCUAAUGGGGGUCCCUGGUGCUGUCUUAAGUAGAAUGAAAGCAACCGCAAUCUUCUCGCUAUGGUAAGAUAAAGCAUUCUCUUUCUCUUCUUCCUCUAUAUCAGCAAGCACAUUUUCUGUAUGGGGAGCAUAACCUUCCAAUCUUAACCUCUUUGUUAUUUCUGCUAGCAUUGCAUAAAUUUGGUCACUUUGAGGAUGAGAUCUAUCGCCCAUUAGAAAUUCAUACACAUGAUUGCCAAACUCUACUAGGCUAUAACCUGGAAUUUUCUGCACUCCGUCGCUAAGCAUCUUUCUCCUGAGGACAUGCACAUCGGACCAGCGUUGCUCUGAAGCAUAGAGGUUGGAGAGGAGCACAUAGUCUCCACUAUACCCAGGUUCUAGCUUUAAUACUUGAGCUCUUGCAUACUCUCCUAAAGUCAAAUGGCCAUGCAUUGCGCACGCUCCUAACAAUGUCCUCCAUAUAACAGCAUUAGGCUGCAAUGGCAUGUUUCGGAUAUAUUGAUAUGCCUCCUUUACCAAGCCUGCCCUACUCAACAAAUCAACUAUGCAACCAUGAUGUUCUAUCUUGGGCACAAUCCCGUAUUUCUCUUUCAUCCUCUUAAAGUAACUGAAACCUUCAUCAACCAUCCCACAAUGACUACAAGCGUAGAGAACCCCAACAAAAGUAACUUCGCUAGGCACCAAUUCCUCUGUUUCCAUCUCCUUGAAAAGCUCAAGUGCUUCCUCGCCAAACCCAUUAACAGCCAAUCCGACAAUCAAAGAACUCCAUGAAACUGCAUUCCUUUCCUUCAUCUCAUCAAAUACUUUCCUUGCCUCUCUAAUGCUUCCACACUUUGCAUAAAAAUCUAACAGCGCAUUAUUAACAUGCAAAUUAUCAGUCAAACCAACCUUCACCAUAUAUAUGUGAACUCUCCUCCCCAACGCCAGAGCACCGAGCUCAGCACAAGCGGAUAACAAGCUAAGCACAGUAUACCCAUCAGGCUUUACACCUUCCAACCCCAUUUCCCUGAAGAGAGUCAGAGCCUCGUUAGGUUUUCCAUUAAGAGCGAACCCAUUAAUCACAGAAUUCCAAGCCACAAUAUCUCUCUCGGACAUUAAUUCAAACGCCUUAUGCGCACUAUCGACGAGCCCACAAGCGGCAUACAUGUGAAGCAAAGAAUUCUGAACAAAGGCUAACGAGUCAUACCCAUUUCUUAUAACUGUGGAAUGCACAAUUUCCCCGAUUCUUACAUCUGCCAACUUGGCAACGGCUUUUAAAAGAAAAGGGUAAGUGUGGGUAUCAGGUUGGAUGCAUGACGCCCGCAUCUGGCGGUAUAAUUGAAGGGCUGGCUCUGGGCUUUCACUCUCAGCAUAGCCUCUAAUCAUGGUAUUCCAGGUGAACACAUUAGAGCUCCGGAUACAAGAAAAGAUGUUGUGAGGAUAUGACAUAGGAGCAGAGAGCGAAACAAGGCUAUAGAUAAGGUGCUUGCCAAUAUCAGGGUCAUUGAGUGGGACCCCAUUCCUGAUAGAGAAAGCGUGGAUUUGUCUGAGUUUGAGUUUGGAAGAGCCGCAGUUUUGUAAAAGGAAAAUGCAUUUCUUGACCAACAAAGACUCUGGUUUGUGCGGGGAAGAUGAGGUUGGUGGGGUUGUGGAGUAGAAGCAUGAGGUUCGCGGAAGAGGGUGCUUUGAGAACAUCGAUCCAUAACUUCUACAUUUUGCUUUCUUCAUGAUGCAUUAUGGCUUGCUUUAUUAGAAUAUAUAAAUCAUAAAGGAUUCAGGAUUGGAGUUUAUCUCAAAUGUUUUUGAUAUUUAAUCAGAAACAGUUGCUGGCAAAUUUACUAAUAGUAGUAACAUUAGACAGAGUAGCAAGUCAACUAAGAUUCAUUUAUAUAUAUUCCUCACCAACCAACCAGUACUGACACCCGCUUUUUUGUCCAUAUAUACAAUAUCUUGAGCUAUAUUACAUAUCAAGGUUGAAAAAGAGCAAGGUAAGUGUUAAGUAUGACUAUUAUUUUCAGUUAAAUUUGAGAAAUAAUCUUCUAGUUAAAUUUUAUUUAUUUAUUUCAAUCAAACAUUGAUUAGUUUAGAUUAUUUUAUUAUUAUUUGACAUAUGAAUUUAACCUAUAAAUAGGCUCUUUUAUAACCUUAGAAAAGGCAUCCCAUUUAGAGAUUAGAACUCAUAACACAUUUAGAGAAUUUUGUGUUUACGUUUUGAUGGUUUUUUGUUUUCAGGGUUUGGGGUUUAAUUUUAUCUCCAUCUUUUGUACUCUUCGUUUUUUUUCCAUUAUAGUUAAAUUAUCUUUGCCCGUGGUUUUUUAUCCUCUUUGGAGGGGUUUUUCCACGUUAAAUUUGUGUGUUCAAUUUCUCAAUUUAUUCCGCUAUUUUUGUAACUUGUUUCUUAACUGGGUCAAUCCCUAACAAGUGGUAUUAGAGCUAGUUUAAUUUUCAUAGAUAAGCCCAUUCAGAUAUGGCAACAACAAUGUUUGAAAUUGAGAAGUUCGAUGGUGAGACAAAUUUCAAUUUGUGGCAAGUAUGGAUGAUGGCAAUUCUAGUUCAAUCUGGUUUGAAAAAGGUUGUUACCGGGAAAAAGCCUGAGAAUCUAAAUAAAACAGAAUGAGAAGAGCUUGAUGAAAAGGCCUUGUCUGUAAUCUAGUUGUGCCUCGCGAAUACGGUAUUGCAGGAGGCAUUGAUGGAGAAGACCUCAUCCGCAUUGUGGAAAAGGUUAGAAACUCUUUAUACGACUAAGUCUCUGGCUAACCGUUUAGUGUUGAAACAACAUUUAUUUACGUUUUGCAUGAACGAAUGUGAGCUUCUUAGAGAUCACAUCAGUCAAUUCAUUACUAUUUUAAAUGAUUUAAAGAACGUUGAGGUUCAUAUUGAUGAUGAAGAUUAAGCUAUGCUAUUAUUGUGCUCUUUACCCCCUUCACACAAGUCUAUCAAGGAGACCCUAAUUUAUGGCAAAGACAAAAUCUCGUUCGAAGAUGUGAAAGGUCAUUUGUUGAGUAGAGACAAACUCGACAAUGAGCUUCAUUUGGAUAGCAAGGCAGAUAGGCAAGCUUCCGUUUUGAUGGCAUCAAAGAAACGAGACAAAAGGUGUCGCUAUUGUAAAAAGUUAGGUCACAUCAAAGCAAAUUGUUAUAAACUGCGAAAUAAAAGAGCUGCUGAGAGUAACGAGAAAGAUGUAGUUGGUGCUAAUUUGAUCGAUGAAAGCGGUGAUGAUUUCUUGUUAGUGUCAACGAGCGAUAACUCCAAGUUCACGUUCGAGUGGAUCCUAGAUUCGGGAUGUUUUUUCCACAUGUGUCCCAAUAGAGAAUGGUUCUCCACAUACAGUUUGGUUGAAGGUGGAGUUGUGCGUAUGAGAAACGAUUCAUCUAGUAAGGUAAUUGGUAUUGAUACUGUUAAAAUUAGGAUACACGAUAGGACGAUUAGGACACUCUCAGAUGUCAGGUAUGUACCUGAUUUACGAAAGAAUCUCAUCUCCUUAAGUAUUUUAGACUUGAAAGGAUGUAGAAUCAACAUCGAGUCAAGUGACAUUAAAGUAUCUCGUGGAGCUCUCGUUUUGUUAAAAGGUAAAAGAACUGGCAGUCUUUAUAUUCUGGAAGGUUCUACAGUGACCGGUGAAAUCGGACGUCCCUCGUCCAUUACAGAGUCGAAUUCAACUCGUUUGGAGCGGAGGCAACUUGGUCAUAGGAGGGAAAAAUGUAUGACCAUUUCGUUGAAGAGAGGUUCUCUUUUGAAUGUAGGUUUUGAAAAGUUAGGGCACUGUGUUCGUGAAAAUCAGACUCUGGUUAGUUUUGAUUUGGCAAUGUACAAGUCGAAGGCUAGAAGUCUUCCAGUUUCUAAACACAGAUUUGACUCAGUUAAUUCCAUGCAUAGUUCAAGAUAGGCUCGUGGCGGGCUUUCGGCAAAGAUGGCAUUGUAGAAAUAUGAGCCAAGGUGGAGAUUUGUUAAGUAUGACUCCUAUUUUCAGUUAAAUUUAAGAAAUAAUCUUCCAGUUAAACUCUGUUUAUUUGUUUCUAUCAAACACUGAUUAGUUUAGAUUAUUUUUAUUAUUAUUUGGCAUAUGAAUUUAGCCUAUAAAUAGACUUUUUUACAACCUUAGAAAAGACACCCCAUUUAGAGAUUAGAACUCAUUACACAUUUAGAGAAUUUUGUGUUUACAUUUUGAGGGUUCUUUGUUUUCGGGAUUUGGGGUUUAGUUUUAUCUCCAUCUUUUGUGCUUUUCGUUCUUUUGCCAUUAUAGUAAAAUUAUAUUUGCCCGUGGUUUUUUAUCCUCUUUGGAGGGGUUUUUCCACGUUAAAUUUGUGUGUUCAAUUUUUCAAUUUAUUCAGCUAUUUUUGUAACUUGUUGCUUAAUCGGGUCGAUCCCUAACAGUAACGAAAGGUUAAUUAAUGAUUGUAUCAAUCAAAAAGUUCCAUUGUGGCGUGGCAUUGGUGAAGGAUCAAAGGUCUUCUACUUGGUUGAGUUGUGAUAGCAACAGGCUCUGCUCUACCAUUUGAUAUCUUUAGCAUGUCAAGUGUUUCAACACAUUUCUCAACCCUCUUGCCUAGAAAACCAUACACUAAACUGUUCUGAUUGUUGAGUCACGUUCUGCAUUUUAUGAUGACGGGAUCAAUGUUUAUUAUGUGCGAGGAAUUUGAAACUUCUCUCGUUCUGAAUGAAUCCAGCUUAAGCACCUGCAAACUUUUCUGGGCAACAGCAUCUCUCUCGGCAACAAUGUUGUCUACCUUUAUUGCUUGUCCCAUCAGCAUCUCACCUCCGGUACCUGGACUCCAUUGGAGAUUGAUUUUUCCAUUGCAAAAACCUAAGAGGCCGCCCCCGGCCCCCAACAACAUUCAAGUUCCUGGCUCAUGCAACAAUAACAUUAAAUUUCUUAAUGCAUUAAAAAUAAAAAGGAAAAAAAAAUUGAAGUAGAAUUGAAAAAGGAAUUUGUUCUUAUGUAUCUAAUAGAAAAAAUAAGGAUUUUGAAUUUGGCUAAAACUUGAGAUUGUGACAAACACGUUGAUAAGGUGAUGAUGGGGCCUGUACUAGAGGUGAUCAUGGCUGGGCCAGGCUCAGACAAAAUUUUAGGCCCAUUUUUUAGGCCCGAGCUUGGCCUAGCCUGAAAUAUGGGCCUAAAAAUUUGUCCAAACCCGGUCUGAGAGAAAAUUACUAAGCUCGAGCCUGGCCCGGCUCGGCCCAUAUUAAAUAUAUAUAAUAUAUAAUAUAUAUUUGAUUAAAAAUAAAAAUAUAUAUUUAAUAUAUAAUUCGGGCCAGGUCGGGCUCGACAAAAAAAGUUUUACCCGAGGCUCGGCCCGUUUUCUAAACGGGCUUUAUUUUUUUACCUAAACCCAUAUUUCGGGCCUAUAUUUUUACCCGAACCCUCCUAUUUUUUGGGCGGGUCGUCGGGCCGGGCCGGGUAGCCCAACCCAUGAUCACCUCUAGCCUGUACCAAAGCUCCUAAAAUGCGGGGAGUGGUAGGAUGGUAAAACUUGAACUAUUUCUUGAAUUUUAGUACGGAUGGUAAAAUUUGAACUGUUUCUUGAAUUUUAAAAUGAUUUGUUUCAUGUGGAGUGGAUUUUUUUCUUCUGAAAAGUGGAUGUGGGGCGGGUGGAUUUUUUUUAGAGGGUGAGUAUGAAGUGGUUAUAGUAAUUGCUUCUCUUGCUCCGCUCGACAAUAUAAAAUUACCAUUUUAUUUUUGUAUAUAUAUAACUAUUAAAAGGGUAAAUUUAUAAUAAUGUAUUAUAGAAAAAUUCAUAUAUUUUAUGUUCAAAUAAUUUUCUAAAGAAUUAUGUUUAAUUGUUUAUUUUUUUAUUUGAAAUAAAUUUUCUUUAAAAAAUAAGGAUAACGGUGCCAUUAAAUGUUCCACUAUACCUCAUGUCUUGGGCCCCUCAACCUACCACCAAAAAAAUAAGCAAACGGUAAAAACAAAUGAAAUAAACUUCUUGAUAGAAAGCUAACAAACGAACAAACACCAACAAAAACAGUGUAAACUAAUCAAAACAACAAGAAAUAACAGCCCCUUCCUUUCCUCCUUCAGUUCCGAUGAAAACUUACUAAAAAUCUCUCCUCGGCACCGCCCCAUAAUAUCAUUGCCUACGCACUCUGAAAGAUUGAGAGGAGAGAAAAACUUUGGAGACCACAUGGAGGUAGAAAUGAUGGGCAUCUCCAAACUCCAAAGCUGACCAACACUGUUCAUCUUCGAGAAACCUAGCGCUACUGAUCUCUUUCAGUUUCUCGUUUCACUACCUGUGGGGCUUCCUCCACCUAGUAUCGUAGCUCAUGCAACCGUCACCCUUCAGUAGCCAAGGCAUGCGCAACAACGUUGGCUCGUCUACCAACAAACUGAAAGGUGAUUCUUUCGAAUCCCUCAUUUUUCCUUUGAUGUAUUUGAUGAUCGGGCUCAACAUAGACUUAUCUUGUGUAGCUAAGUUUACUUUCUUGAUUAUUGUUAGAGAGUCUCCCUCCACUUGUAUCGAUUUAAACCCUAGCUCCACAACAAAAUCAAUGCCCUGUUCACAAGCUCAUGCUUUGGCAACAAAAGCAUCGACAAUCCCAUAAUACAGGUAGGUACAUGCAGCCGUUAUUAAGCCCAAAGAAUUCUUGAUUACAACCUGUGAAAUGGAACUCUUUGUAAGAAGCAUUGAAGUUGACUUUCAUACAAUUUGAACCGGGCGGCAUCCAUUCCUCCUUUAUCUGCGACCAGGUUGAUGUUUUGAACUCAUCCACGACCUUCAGCUUUAAUAGGUAAGCCCUAAUGUACACAAUCAACUCUUGCACAGACUACCUAACACUCUCAUGCACAAUCUUGUUUCUAGCAUACCAGAUUGCCCAAUACGAUAUUUCUAUUAGUUUCAGUGUUUUUCCAUUAGAAAUCAUGACCACCUCUGCUAACCAUGACUUAUGGUCUGAGCUCUCUGAGAUAGGAACAGUUCCAAUAUUCAAAGAAUCCAUAAUCUAUUUUGAGAUAGAACAGAAACGUUCCACAUGAUUAAUGGACUCUUCUUCUGAGUUGCAUAAAAAGUAGAUAUUACUUACUUGGAGAUUUUUCCUUUGUAAAUUAUUCUUCCUCUAAGUUGCAUAAAAAGUAGAUAUUACUUACUUGGAGAUUUUUCCUUUGUAAAUUAUCAAAAGCACGUAGAUAAUUAUUUGUAAACCUCCAUAGUGUAAUCUUUAUUUUUGCUGGAAUUGGUAAAACCCAUAACCUAGAAUAGAACUUUGUAAAUAGGUUAGGCAUGGUGGCAUAAAAUCCCCUUUUUUGUAACUAUUCUUCUAGUAGUAGCCUAUAUCCUCUCUUAUAAGUAUAUUCCUUAGAACUCUCAUACCUCAAAACCAUCUCAUCAGUUACUUAUGAUCGGCCAAUCGGAAUACAAAAAAAUUUCUCUGCCAACUCCUCAUCAAACAAUGCUCUAAUUGCCCCCUAGACCCAAGUAUUAGUGCUAUGAUCAAUUAAAUUGGCUACUGUUGUGUACCUCACAUCAAUGUCCUGAUGCCUUACUCGUCCAUUGCCUUGUCCAGGGAUCCAAGAAUCAUUCUAGAUAUUAACAUUCUCACCUGCACCAAUUUUCCAACAUGUUCCCUUUUCAAUUAAGCUUCGAGCACUUUAAAUACUUCUCCAAGUAAGUGACGGGUAAGCUUCUAACUGAGCUUGGGAAAUAUCUUGCUUUUAUAACUUGAUCCAACAAACUGGAUGGUUUGGUUAAAAUACACCAAUAUUAUUUUUCUAACGAAGAAACAUUAAACAACGCUAGAUCACGAAAUCUCAAACCACCACAAGAUUUCAGUAAACAAAGAGUUUGCCAAGUGCUCCAAUGACAACCUCUACCCAAGGUGUUAUUCCUCCACCAAAAUAUAUUAAGUACACUUUCCAACCUGUUACAAAGUGGCUUAGGAAAAAGAAAGCACUACAUGACAUACACUGGCUGUAACUGCCCAAUUUUAGUGGUGCUAGAAAUAGUGGUUCGAGACCAUUAAAUUUGGUGAUUGAGUUGAAAAUUUUAUUAUCUAGUAUUUAUAAUCCAAAUGUGAUUUUAGGAAGACUUUUGAAUUAGUGAAUUGUGUUUUAGAAGAAUUUAUUAGGAUAAUUGGUUUUGAAAACGAGGUAUCGAGACCUUGAUUUUAUAAAUCGAGCCGUGAAUAUUUUAUAAAUAUUUACGGAGUUUCAUUAUGGUAUUAUUAAAGUUUCGUUAGAAAAUUUUAAUGUUUUGAUAGUUAAUUAAUUAAAAAGGAUUAGAUUGAAAAAGGUGCAAAACUUGUUAAUUAAAGAAAUAAUGAUUAAAUGGCUCAAGUGAUAAAUAAGGGAGGACUAAAAGGGCAAAUUAUCCCAAAGAGGAUGGCUGGGGCGGCAUAAGCAGAGAAAAUUCAUAAAAUUAGGUGAAACAAUGGCAAGAUUAGAAUUUUUGUAAAAAUUAAACAAAUAAACAAGCAAUUAAAAGAGAUUGGGAUUGAAAUGGUUGUGUAAAUGUCAAGAGUUACAUUUUGUUUAUGUUUCAAGUUAACUUAUAUAUGUAUGGUUUUAUCAUGUUUGGUAUAAGUACUAGUGUGGUUAAUGGAUGGAUAGUUCCUAGUCAUAGUAAUGAAUAAAUUGGUAAAACAUGUUGAUAUAGGUAGUUACACGUGUGAAUUGAUUUAUGUUCUAAUUAGAAUGUUAGAAUAUAUGUGAUAAUAUGGCCAUAUUAAAAUUAGGAAUUGGUAUUUUUGGUGACCUUGUUAUGACCUAUAUAUAAUGCAAUUUGAUGUGUGUAGGUUGAAGUCAAGAAUGAGUGAAAAAAGAGACCAUAAAAUGACUUGUUUUCGUCUACACGGGCAGAGACACGGAUGUGUGUCUCAGCCGUUUGUGACACACAGCCUGACACAUGGGUGUGUGGUUUGGCCAUGUGUCCCCUGUAUCUUAAAUUUUUAAAACAGAAUGUCCAAGUUUUUUCACAC
rnacentral:lncRNA from 1 species